rnacentral:rRNA from 1 species
AACGAACGCUGGCGGCAUGCCUAACACAUGCAAGUCGAACGAGACCUUCGGGUCUAGUGGCGCACGGGUGCGUAACGCGUGGGAACCUGCCCUUAGGUUCGGAAUAACUCCCCGAAAGGGGUGCUAAUACCGGAUAAUGUCUUCGGACCAAAGAUUUAUCGCCUUUGGAUGGGCCCGCGUUGGAUUAGCUAGUUGGUAGGGUAAGAGCCUACCAAGGCGACGAUCCAUAGCUGGUCUGAGAGGAUGAUCAGCCACACUGGGACUGAGACACGGCCCAGACUCCUACGGGAGGCAGCAGUGGGGAAUAUUGGACAAUGGGCGAAAGCCUGAUCCAGCAAGGCCGCGGGAGUGAUGAAGGCCUUAGGGUUGUAAAGCUCUUUUACCCGGGAUGAUAAUGACAGUACCGGGAGAAUAAGCUCCGGCUAACUCCGU